UACGAGGGGGGCAAAUGUUGUUCGGAAUCACUGGGCGUAAAGGGAGCGUAGGCGGGUUCUUAAGUUAGGUGUUUAAUCCCGGGGCCCAACCCCGGACCGGCACUUAAAACUGGGAAUCUUGAAUAGUGGAGAGGUCGGUGGAAUUGGGGGUGUAGCGGUGGAAUGCGUAGAGAUCCCCAAGAACACCAGUUGCGAAGGCGGCCGACUGGACACAUAUUGACGCUGAGGUUCGAAAGCAUGGGGAGCAAACAGG
rnacentral:rRNA from 1 species